rnacentral:rRNA from 1 species
GUCGGGAAUUUUGGGCAAUGGGCGAAAGCCUGACCCAGCAACGCCGCGUGAAGGAUGAAGUAUUUCGGUAUGUAAACUUCGUAAGAAUAGGAAGAAUAAAUGACGGUACUAUUUGUAAGGUCCGGCUAACUACGUGCCAGCAGCCGCGGUAAUACGUAGGGACCAAGCGUUGUUCGGAUUUACUGGGCGUAAAGGGCGCGUAGGCGGCGUGGUAAGUCAGCUGUGAAAUCUCCGAGCUUAACUCGGAACGGUCAGCUGAUACUGCUGUGCUAGAGUACAGAAAGGGCAAUCGGAAUUCUUGGUGUAGCGGUGAAAUGCGUAGAUAUCAAGAGGAACACCUGAGGCGAAGGCGGGUUGCUAGGCUGAUACUGACGCUGAGGCGCGAAAGCUAGGGUAGCAAACGGGAUUAGAAACCCCGGUAGUCC